UCUUCUUCCAAGAGAAAAAGAGAGAGAAAAAUGAAAUGUUCUCUAGUAUACAUGCUAUUUUAUGCAUGAGUAGCUCUAUAUUAAUUAACAAUUAAUUUUGGUAAGCUUUGAAAGGCCACAUCUGCAUUAUUGUGAGUUGCUAUGAUGUAAUUAGCUAGCUAGAUACCGUUUUAUCAAGAAAAGAAAAAGACGAAAAACGUUCUCCCACCUGAACCCGAUAAUUUGUGGGUUUCUCUCCUCUUCCCUCGAACCCUAUUAGAAAAAAAAUCAUGGAGAUUCCCCCUUUGCGCGGCUAAUUUCUCAUUUCUACCGGUCCUAAGGAUGAAUUAGGCUUCAUUAGUUGCUAGAUUUGUGGUAAGAUCGUGGUUUUCUUUCAUUUUUUUUAUCUAGAUUCUAUGGAUUUGAGAAGUCUUGGUUUAGUUGUUGGUUGCUGCUGUAUCUCUUGGAAUUGGCUCUGGUGAGGAUGGAUUUGCAUUUCCGGUGGGUUUUAUCUGUGUACAUCAAUCGUUUUCUCUAUCACAAUUUACAGAAACAAUAAUAACCAGACUUGCCAGCGCCUCUUCCGCAUUGUGAUUAUUCCGUCAGUUUGAAGACCCUGUGUCAGACAUGUUCUGAAAAAUGCAGCCUAUAUGUACCAAGUGACUAUCAACAACAACAACAGCAACAGUGCAACUCCUGCACCAAAUAAACCACGAUCAUGUUAAUUACAGAAAACUCAGCUUCUAUUACCACAGUCGAGCACUAAUAGCCUAUACCUAUAGGCGAUCCUUUUUGGACCGGUAGAUUCUCAACCUUGCAUUUCUUCGGGUCUCUUAGUUUAAUUUGCAUUAUUAUUUAUUCAUUAGUGUAAGCCUUUGUCUUUUGCUUUUCUCGGUGUUUUAUGUUUUAGAACCUUAGUCCUGCAUUAUAUCUAUAUAAGGUGCAACACAACCUAGAGUUUCCCUAAUUGUUGUAUUAGACUUCCGUCUCGGGGUAACAGUAUACAUCAAAUUGUAAUUUUUGGCAUUCACAACUGUAACUUGUAAGUGCUAGUUUAUAAAGCACAUUUGUAGUUCUAUUCUCUGCCCUUAAACUAGUCUACAUACUACUUAGGUUUUGUAA